rnacentral:tRNA from 1 species
GGCCCCGUAGCUCAACUGGAUAGAGCAUCCGCCUUCUAAGCGGAUGGUUCCGGGUUCAAGUCCUGGCGGGGUCGCCA